CAAUUUAGGAGUCUCUCAUCUGUCACUUUCUCCCAUAAAGGGUUAGCAUGAAAGCAAUGAGUCAGGCAUGAUGUUCCAGCCAAGUGCAAAAUGAAUUAUGAAAGCAUCAGCUGCGUAAACCUCCCAUUGAGUCUACUUUUUUUGAAGAAUUGAAACUUCCAGUAGAAAAAGCAGGGUUGGAAAUAAGAAUGACCCCAUGUCAUGACCACAUACAGAUCUAUAUUUCACCUCUUUAUCUGGCAAAAAACCUCAGUCAGGCAGCAAGCUUCCUCCUGGAUCCAAGCUUUCAGGCUUUUCUUCCCUAAUCCUAGGUUCCUCAGAGUCAUGAGGCUGAAUUGUCUCUGCUGCUUCCAGGUGUGCCCGUUGGCAAAGGUGAUGCCUGCAACAAAAUGGGGAAGGACCGGGGAGAAGUAUGGGGCUGGUGUAUCCAUAAGCAGGACUGGUGAAUUCGUAGUGGUUCCAAGAUCUACCACCAUGAGUUUGGAAGGAUCCCUGGCAGUAUUUAUAUGGGGAAUCAGAGUGCACAUCAGCUCUCAUGAUUACUGA
rnacentral:lncRNA from 1 species